rnacentral:rRNA from 1 species
UAAAAUCUACUUGAUCUUGACACAAUCCUACUUGGAUAACUGUGGUAAUUCUAGAGCUAAUACAUGCAUUAAAGCUCUGACCUCACGGGAAGAGUGCACUUAUUAGAACAAAACCAAGCGGCUUCGGCUGUUUCUGGUUGACUCAUAGUAACUGAGCUGAUCGCACGGUCUUGCACCGGCGACGUGUCUUUCGAGUAUCUGCCGUAUCAACUUUCGAUGGUAGUGUAUCUGACUACCAUGGUGAUCACGCGUAACGGAGAAUAAGGGUUCGGCUCCGGAGAGUUCGCCUGAGAAAUCGCGAACACAUCUAAGGAAGGCAGCAGGCGCGAAAAUUACCCACUCUCAGCACGAGGAGGUAGUGACGAAAAAUAACGAGACCGUUCUCUUAUGAGGCCGGUCAUCGGAAUGGGUACAAUUUAAACCCUUUAACGAGUAUCUAUGAGAGGGCAAGUCUGGUGCCAGCAGCCGCGGUAAUUCCAGCUCUCAAAGUGCAUAGAAUUAUUGCUGCGGUUAAAAAGCUCGUAGUUGGAUCUGUGCCAUAGGACGUGGUCCACCUUCUGGGUGCGUACUAUGUUCCUAGGCUUUUUGCUGGUUUUCCCGUCGUAGCCUUAACUGGUUGCGGCGGGUGGCUGGCGAGUUUACUUUGAGAAAAUCAGAGUGCUCAACACAGGCGUAUCGCUUGAAUGAUUGUGCAUGGAAUAAUAGAAAAGGAUUUCGGUCCUCUUUUAUUGGUUUUGUGGACUGAGAUAAUGGUUAACAGGGACCAACGGGGGCAUUCGUAUCGUUGCGUGAGAGGUGAAAUUCUUGGACCGUAGCGAGACGCCCUACUGCGAAAGCAUUUGCCAAGAAUGUCUUCAUUAAUCAAGAACGAAAGUCAGAGGUUCGAA